rnacentral:rRNA from 1 species
UACGGAGGGUGCAAGCGUCGUUCGGAAUCAUUGGGCGUAAAGCGCGUGUAGGCGGCUUGGCAAGUCGGUUGUGAAAGCCCGGGGCCCAACCCCGGAACUGCAUCUGAAACUGCCUGGCUAGAGUCCCGGAGAGGAAGGCAGAAUUCCCGGUGUAGCAGUGAAAUGCGUAGAGAUCGGGAGGAACAUCAGUUGCGAAGGCGGCUCUCUGGACCAGCACUGACACUGAGGCACGAAAGCGUGGGGAGCAAACAGG